rnacentral:tRNA from 1 species
UUUAAGUCCCUCUAUCCCCA